rnacentral:rRNA from 1 species
UACGUAGGGUGCAAGCGUUGUCCGGAAUUAUUGGGCGUAAAGAGCGUGUAGGCGGCCUGAAAGGUCAGCUGUGAAAACUCGAGGCUCAACCUCGAGACGUCGGUUGAAACCAUCUGGCUAGAGUCCGGAAGAGGAGAGUGGAAUUCCCGGUGUAGCGGUGAAAUGCGCAGAUAUCGGGAAGAACACCCGUGGCGAAGGCGGCUCUCUGGGCCUUACCUGACGCUGAGGAGCGAAAGCGUGGGGAGCGAACAGG